UGGGCAACCUGCCCCUAGCUCUGGGAUAACUGCGGGAAACUGUAGCUAAUACCGGAUGUGACACGAGACUGCAUGGUCUUCGUGUGGAAAGAUUUAUCGGCUAGGGAUGGGGCCCGCGGUCUAUCAGCUUGUUGGUGGGGUAAUGGCUCACCAAGGCGACGACGGAUAACCGGCCUGAGAGGGUGACCGGCCACACGUGGGACUGAGACACGGCCCAGACCUCCGUACGGGAGG
rnacentral:rRNA from 1 species